GCCGCGCAUAACGUUUUCUGUACAAGCACCUAUCAGUCCGUAAGUUCUCGCUUUCUAACGUCGAAGUUCGGGCAAAAUCUUUCAAAGUUAUAAUUUUUGGUUGAAAGUGGCCUGAUUUAGGUAUUACUUGAAGUAUAAAUUUGCAAAGAUAAGACACUUGCUGGAGAAUUAUUUACACGUCUGAAGUUUUAGUUUUGCGUUUUGCGAUCGAUUUUGAAGGCGUGUGGUUUUGCCUUGUGACUUGAGACCUGAGAACGCAGUUAUCUGUGUACGGACAGCUGAAGUUCUUCGUCAACUUUCCAUACUCUAGCUUUCAAAGCCUUCGUGAGCAAAAUUGUUGCAACGAUGCCUCGUGCUCCCAAAUCCGCUCCCCUGUCUCCCAAAAAGAUGAAGUGGCUUGUAGCUACUCGCAUCGACCGCGAAGAUGAAUUCCGCCACUGUACCAGUAAGGCGAAGUUCUGGUCAAAAGUUUUCCAGGAAAUGCAGAGCGUUUUUAAAGAUGCCCUGGAUAACCGCACCAGUGAAAACCUGAAGAUCUCCUACGAAAAUGCGUGGAAGAAAUAUAAGAUAUGAAAUUUUUUCUUGCGGCUUGUAAGCGUAAUUAUGUCGAAUUUGUUCGUCUGUUCCAGUUCACACAUGCCACCAGUAAUUACGCUUUAACAGUAGAUUUUACAAUCUGAUAUAUACAUUGAGGAUUUUUUGUGGUUACUU